CAUGGGAUCACGAAGAACGGGACCUUUAAGGCAAAUGCUGAGGUGUGAUUGACUCAGUGUGAUUGCGUCUCGGGUGGGGAUGCUUUUUUGCAAGUGCAAAUGUUAAUUUCCUUUGUUUUCUCAAAGAGUAGCCCUUUCUUGGUCCAGGCACUCCGGCAUCAGUCUUACAUAUCUAAAGUGACUUACAAAUGAAGAGAACAAUAGAAACAACUGAAUCAUCAAUAGGUCAACAAUAUGCAAGUGCAAGUACUAGUCCUAGUUAAUCUAACACCGUACACGUGACAAGGUUUUUUUUUUUUUUUUUUUUUUUUGUAAAGGACAAAUAGAAACGUAAUUGUUGAAUAUUGUAUAAGGCAAAUCUGCAAAAAAUCUGCAGUUCUAGCAAUGAAUUUGGGAUUAUGCUGGGCACCAACUCUGCCACAAAACCCAUGUAUACAUUGUUUUUUGAGCUUAAUUUAGUGUCUGCUGUGUGUACCAUUACCUACCAUAACCUAUUUACCUGAGAACAUCAAAUCACUGAUUUAUACAUUAACCUGUAAGAACACACACAUUAUUGUCCUCAUUUUUAGUUAAUUUUCACUUUCACUUAUUCUUUUCUUGAGGUUUAUUCAUAUCCCUAUAAAAUAAACAUCUCUUAGCAUGUAAAUAAAGAAGGUCAUAAUGAAGCACAUGAGGUCGUGUAAAGGCUUGUAACAAUCAAAUUGAUAACAAUAGCUUUAAAAGCAAGUCAGUGGGCAGAAAAUGAGUAUAGUAAUGGCUGUAGAGUAAGAGACAAUAAUUAACGUUGAAAAAAAUUAUGAUAAUUCUGUUGAAAUUGGAUGCAACUUUUGUUCUGGUAUUAAUUUAGGUUACAAUUGUAGACAAAAACACAACACAAGUAACUCAAUUAUUUGUUGGGUUAAUUAAUGAAAUGUAUAUUGUAUAUGUUUCCAUACAAUUAGUGGACUUAAAUUAUUUUACUUUAGAUUACUUUGAAUUUAUGUCUGAAAAAUACUAUAUGAAUAAAGGAAUAAAUAAAGGAAAAGAAACCAAGACAGAUGUUUUCACUCCAUCGCAGAUCUUCUUCUUCACCACCAGGAGGCGCUAGCAGCUAUGUGUCCCAUGUAUCAAGCACAACUGCUCUCCUGCAUCAUAAACAUUUAUCAGAAAUUCACACAUUUUCAUCCCUUUUAUCACAAUCUUAGUCACCUUCUGCACUUCAUCUCCCAGAAUCCUUCCUGGUCCACACAUUCUAAAAUUAUCACAGCUGUCUGUCCAACCCAGAAUCACGCCAAAGCACACUCCACUACUAGAGGAUGCGUGUCAGUGUCACGAUUUGCCUUCUAGGCCUGAAAAUGACCCGCAGGGGGCGAUAAUUUUCUUAAUGUCAACAACUUCCCAACAGAACAGUGCAUUUUCCAAAAAUCCCCGCGUCUGAUUCGGUCCGGUUGGAUAUUGUAAGCCAUAAGAUUUCUUCAGAUACUCCAACACCAGCCCAGUUCUACUGUGAGGUAAAACUUUAACUCUGGAGUUGUGAAUCUCACUCAGGGCAGGCGAGAACCGCGAGGGAACGGCACGAGGCCGGUGAUGCGAGUCUCUCACGGUCACACGGAGGAGCUCCGGAAGCAAAAAAAAGAGGAGCGACGACUUUAUUUUAUGUUUUGUUAAGUUUGUGUGGUUCCUCACGAACAACUGCCGGCAUUUUACUUUCGUUUUGUAUUUGUUUAUUUUGGUAUUAAAUGUUAAAUGUUCCCGCCUCCUUCUUCCCAUAUAGCCUACGAACUGUGUUACAAUUUUGUUUAUUCUCUACUAAACAUUUAAGAAAUAAGUGUACAACUUCUGUUAUCUUGGAGUAGGGGCAUUCCCUCUGUCUUGAGGGGAAGAGGGGUUAAUCAACACCAUUAUAGCCUACUCUGGGGAGCUACCGUGUUAUUAAGUUCCAGUCAGAGCCUCAAUCCUCAUACGUUUCUGGAUUACAAUCCUCAUAAAAUAAUACGUUUUUAUAAUAAACUUUUUAAAAUCAAAA